rnacentral:rRNA from 1 species
UACGUAGGGAGCAAGCGUUGUCCGGAAUCAUUGGGCGUAAAGCGCGCGUAGGUGGCUUCGUAAGUCCGUUGUGAAAGUCAAAGGCUCAACCUUUGAAAGCCGAUGGAUACUGUGAAGCUAGAGUACGGAAGAGGCGAGUGGAAUUCCUGGUGUAGCGGUGGAAUGCGCAGAUAUCAGGAGGAACACCAAUGGCGAAGGCGACUACCUGGCCUGUUCUUGACGCUGAGGCGCGAAAGCUAGGGGAGCAAACGGG